GCACUUGGAGAUGUAUAGGGAUUACCUACUUGCUUCAUGAAAACUGAUGCAAGAUCGAUAUGUCGUAUAAAGUUCUAGUCAGUACUAUGAUAAUGACAUUGUCUGGCUAUGUGUCUUGACCAAAUUACGUGCCAGCAGUCGCGGUAAUACGUAGAAGACUAGUGUUAUUCAUGUUUAAUCGGUUUAAAGGGUACCUAGACGGCAGAUCAAGCCUUCAGUAAAUAAAUAAAAAGGGACUAAUUUAGCUAGAGUUACUUAUGAGGAAGCUAUAAAGUACUGCUGGUGUAGAGAUGAAAUUCUGUCAUACCUCUUUUCGAUAGGAAAACGACGGCACAGGUAAAGGCGAAGGCGUCUUCUUAUGGGAUAACUGACGUUGAGGGACGAAGGCUUGGGUAGCGAACAGGAUGUGCGACCUGCUAAGCUUUAGUAAGAACUGUGGUACAUUUGGCUGCUAUGCCAUGAUCCGCAAGCAAGUACUAUGAAUGAAUAAAAUAAAUAUGCCUUGCUAAGCAUCUAGAUAUUCUACUUCGUUACUUGAAGCGAGAGGGAAUACGGCUUGAUACCACAUUGUAUUUC
rnacentral:rRNA from 1 species